rnacentral:rRNA from 1 species
UACUUGCUUUUACAAGGCGAAACCGCGAAUGGCUCAUUAAAUCAGUUAUGGUUCACUAGAUCGUACAGUUUACAUGGAUAACUGUGGUAAUUCUAGAGCUAAUACAUGCACCCAGUCCGUUCCCUCGUGGAGCGGAUGCAGUUAUUUGCCCAAAACCAAUCCGGCCUUCGGGUCGGUCAAUUGGUGACUCUGAAUAACCGAAGCGGAGCGCAUGGUCUCGUACCGGCGCCAGAUCUUUCAAGUGUCUGACUUAUCAGCUUGUUGUUAGGUUAUGUUCCUAACAAGGCAUCAACGGGUAACGGAGUGUCAGGGCCCGACACCGGAGAGGGAGCCUGAGAAACGGCUACCACAUCCAAGGAAGGCAGCAGGCGCGCAAAUUACCCACUCCCGGCACGGGGAGGUAGUGACGAAAAAUAACGAUGCGAGAGCUUUAUGCUCCUCGUAAUCGGAAUGGGUACACUUUAAAUCCUUUAACGAGGAUCUAUUGGAGGGCAAGUCUGGUGCCAGCAGCCGCGGUAAUUCCAGCUCCAAUAGCGUAUAUUAAAGUUGCUGCGGUUAAAAAGCUCGUAGUUGGAUCUGGGUAGUCGAUGGACGGUGCGCUUUACGGCGUCUACUGUUCGUUCGGCACCACAUGCCGGCCAUGUCUUGCAUGCUCUUCACUGAGUGUGCUUGGCGACCGGAACGUUUACUUUGAAAAAAUUAGAGUGCUCAAAGCAGGCGUUAAGCCUUGCAUAAUGGUGCAUGGAAUAAUAGAAUAGGACCUCGGUUCUAUUUUGUUGGUUUUCGGAGCUCGAGGUAAUGAUUAAUAGGAACAGACGGGGGCAUUCGUAUUGCGGCGUUAGAGGUGAAAUUCUUGGAUCGUCGCAAGACGCAC